rnacentral:rRNA from 1 species
UACGAAGGGGGCUAGCGUUGUUCGGAAUCACUGGGCGUAAAGGGCGCGUAGGCGGCCUGAUAAGUCGGGGGUGAAAGCCUGUGGCUCAACCACAGAAUUGCCUUCGAUACUGUUAGGCUUAAGACCGGAAGAGGUAAGUGGAACUGCGAGUGUAGAGGUGAAAUUCGUAGAUAUUCGCAAGAACACCAGUGGCGAAGGCGGCUUACUGGUCCGGUUCUGACGCUGAGAAGCGAAAGCAUGGGGAGCGAACAGG